rnacentral:rRNA from 1 species
UACGUAGGGGGCAAGCGUUGUCCGGAAUCAUUGGGCGUAAAGCGCGUGUAGGCGGCUCGGUAAGUCCGCUCUGAAAGUCCAGGGCUCAACCCUGGGAUGCGGGUGGAUACUGCCGGGCUCGAGUCCGGAAGAGGCGAGUGGAAUUCCCGGUGUAGCGGUGAAAUGCGCAGAUAUCAGGAAGAACACCCGUGGCUAAGGCGGCUCUCUGGGACGGUACUGACGCUGAGACGCGAAAGCGUGGGGAGCGAACAGG